CCUUCUCAAACCAACUCCCCUCUCUCGUUCUCAUCUCUUCACUCUCGUUCUCAGAUGGUACGACGGCGCCGCCCUCAAAUCCCUUCUCCGGCUAACAGAAAUCCGACGAAACGCCGUCAUGAACAAACAAAAUUACCCCACCUCCGGUCCAUUUCUUGCAUUCACCUCGUCAAUUUCAACCUAAUUCGCCCUAAUCUAACAAAAUCCUCUAGAACCCUAAGUGUGGAAUUCCAAUUACAAAGCGACAAUUGAAUUGUGAAUCUCCCAGUUUAUGAUCCAUGGAGACUCAAUCUAUGCAGAAGCGUGAAGAAGACGAAGGAUGAAUGAAGAUGAGAAGAGUUCCAAGGCUUACCUACCGGAGACAAGUCCGGUGCCUCUUGAGUUUGGAGAUGGAGCAAUUGAAGUCCUGUGAUGAGAAUUCUACGAAUGCUUAUGCGAUGUAAACGCCGGGAGACACGACAAUCUUCAGGGACUGUUCUGACAAAGUCAACUGAUUCAGGAUUAGUUUGAGAUUGAUACAAUGCUGCCAGUUUUGCUGCACCCAAGCCUGUUGUCAAGUUGCUGGAUCUGAUGGUAUACUAGCCGAUCGGGAAGCGCAUCUGACUGUAAUUUCUUCAAGCGGAACAGAGGUACUGAACUGGGCUGAACAUGGAGAAACCGUGAAUUGGAAUGGGUUAAGAGGCAAGGACCAUGAAGCGGUUGCAGGGAUCUUGGAAUAUAUUGAAGCAUGAAGAGUUGCAGGGAUCUUGGAAUAUAUUGAAGCAUGAAGAGGAACAUAGUUUAGCAUAAGCUUUUCUUUUGUAUUUCUUUUUUUUUUUUAUGGAAUGUAAUGGCGAAAAUAACUUAGACUUGAAUUUUGUGUAAAUGUGGAUGGAUU